CCCCACGUCAUGAGGAGAUACCCGCUGAGUUUAAGCAUAUCAAUAAGCCGGAGGAAG
rnacentral:rRNA from 1 species